AAGUCCGCUUCGGUGGAUGAGUAAAGUGGCGCACGGGUGAGUAACGCGUGGAUAAUCUACCCUUUAGUCUGGAAUAACUUAUCGAAAGGUGAACUAAUACCGGAUAAUAUCCCGAUUUCUUCGGCGAUCGGGAUCAAAGAAGGCCUCUGCUUGCAGGCUUUCACUGAAAGAUGAGUCCGCGUACCAUUAGCUAGUUGGCAGGGUAAUGGCCUACCAAGGUUAUGAUGGUUAGCUGGUCUGAGAGGAUGAUCAGCCACACUGGAACUGAAACACGGUCCAGACUCCUACGGGAGGCAACAGUGAGGAAUAUUGCGCAAUGGGGGCAACCCUGACGCAACAACGCCUCGUGAGUGAGGAACGUUUUCGGAUUGUAAAGCUCUGUCGAGCGGAAAGAAAUGCAUGGUGGUUAAUAUCCAUCAUGCUUGACNGGUACCGNAAAAGGAAGCACCGGCUAACUCCGUGCCAGC
rnacentral:rRNA from 1 species